rnacentral:rRNA from 1 species
AGGAACCUGCCCGGGUGGACAAAACCCGGAGGAAAGGUGGGGAUGACGUCAAGGUCAUCAUGGCCCUUACGGCCCUGGGCUACACACGUGCUACAAUGGUCGGUACAAAGGGUUGCCAAGCCGCGAGGUGGAGCUAAUCCCAUAAAACCGAUCGUAGUCCCGGAUCGCAGUCUGCAACUCGACUGCGUGAAGUUCGGAAUCGCUAGUAAUCGUGAAUCAGAAUGUCACGGUGAAUACGUUCCCGGGCCUU